rnacentral:rRNA from 1 species
CGGGGGGAGCAAGCGUUGUUCGGAUUUACUGGGCGUAAAGGGCGCGUAGGCGGCGCAACAAGUCACUUGUGAAAUCUCCGGGCUUAACCCGGAGCGGCCAAGUGAUACUGUCGUGCUAGAGUGCGGAAGGGGCUACUGGAAUUCUCGGUGUAGCGGUGAAAUGCGUAGAUAUCGAGAGGAACACCUGCGGCGAAGGCGGGUAGCUGGGCCGACACUGACGCUGAGGCGCGAAAGCCAGGGGAGCGAACGGGAUUAGAUACCCCGGUAGUCCUGGCCUUAAACGAUGGAUGCUUGGUGUCCGAGGUUACAUAGUCCUCGGGUGCCGGCGCUAACGCAUUAAGCAUCCCGCCUGGGGAGUACGGUCGCAAGACUG